GGCUCGUUAGCUCAGUUGGUAAGAGCACCACACUGUUUUCGUGGAGGUCGUAGGUUCGAAUCCUACAUGAGCCA
rnacentral:tRNA from 1 species